rnacentral:misc_RNA from 1 species
AAUGUUACUCACCUUACCAGUGCCAAGCUUACAAGACCAAGCAGAAAGCAAACUAUGAAAACAAUUUGUUACUCAAUAACGCCCACAAUAUGAACAAGGGAUAACAAGCCCAAGCAAUGAUCAAACUCGAGUUCCGUGGUGUAUUAUAAUUACGUUGUUUCAGCUGUGCGUACCUUUUCUUCUUCGCUAACUAAGUUUGCAGAUUCCGUAUUUUCGGUGGUGUCCUGAAUCUCAGAAAUUGUUUCUGCGUUGACAUUGCUGGUGAGUACUACUGGAUCACCAGUGCUUCUUGGUCUUACAGAACCAGCACUUGGACUACCAUGGCCAGAAACUUGUUCCUCUGAUUGAUUGGAUCGAUUCAAGGCAUGGCAAUGUGGGCAGUAGUAAGUAAUGAAUGGGAAAUCUUCCUUCUUGACAAGCCCAUUGUGCAUAUGGCAGUUGCCACAGAUGAG